rnacentral:pre_miRNA from 1 species
AUUAUAUCAAAUUGUCCGAAAAUACUGUCAUCAAAAUGGAUAAAAAGAGAUGUAUCUAAAAUUAAAAUACAUCUAGAUACAUUCCCUUUUAUUCAUUUUGAUGACAAGUAUUUCCGGACGGAGGGAGUAUCAA